UACGGAGGGUGCAAGCGUUGUUCGGAAUUAUUGGGCGUAAAGCGCGCGCAGGCGGCCUGGAAAGUCUAUGGGUGAAAUGCCGGGGCUCAACCCCGUGCAUGCCCAGGAUACUGCCAGGCUGGAGACACGUAGAGGCAAGCGGAAUUCCGGGUGUAGCGGUGGGAAUGCGUAGAGAUCCGGAAGAACACCGGAGGCGAAGGCGGCUUGCUGGGCGGUGAUCUGACGCUGAGACGCGAAGCGUGG
rnacentral:rRNA from 1 species